ACUUACUUCCUCAUUAUCUUCGCUCCCUGGUUAACAUUUAAAGAGAAGGAGGAAACUAUCCAUGAACUCAAAUCGAUCCACGUUGAAAGAAGAAAUUAAGGAAGUAAUUGAAGUAUAAUCUUGCAAAAUAAGUUAAUUGCAAAGUGAACUCUGCUUAAUUUCGGUGCUGUUGGAAAUUUGAGGUAAAUAUCUUCUUUACAUCAAUGGCAUCUUCAUCAUCAUCAUCAUCAUCUCAGCCAUGGGAGUACCAUGUUUUCCUUAGUUUUAGAGGAGAAGAUACUCGUCAGAAUCUUGUGGGCCAUCUCUACAAAGCUCUUGUAGAAAAAGGGGUCUACACUUACAAGGAUGAUGAAACACUUCCUCGGGGGGAAUCAAUCAGUCCAGCCCUUAUGAAGGCUAUUGAAGGAUCACAACUUGCUGUCAUCGUAUUCUCUGAAAAUUAUGCAGAUUCAUCGUGGUGUUUAGAGGAACUUUCACAUAUUAUGGAAUGCAAGGAAACGAGAGGCCAAAUCGUUAUGCCUAUAUUUUAUGACGUGGAUCCGUCUUAUGUGCGAAAUCAAAAAGAAAAAUAUGGAGAAGCAUUUGCCAAACACGAGCUCAAGAACACUGACAAAAUCAAAUCUUUGGUUCAGGCAUUUAUAAUUGACCCUUGUGGGUGGUUCUUUGCACCGUUUGAACGAAAAAGGGAAUACGAUGAAGAAUAUACCAAACAGCACUCAGAGAUUAAGACAAAGGUUGAAUCAUGGAGAAAAGCAAUCGUGGAUGCAAGUAACAUAUCUGGAUGGUUUAUUGCCAACAGGGAUGAGUCGAAGGCCAUUGAAGAAAUUGUUGAGACAAUUUCACAAAGGUUGCAUCCAACAUCAGUUGAGGAUGACAACCUGAUUGGAAUGAAGGCUCGCAUGCAAGAUUUGAUAUCAAAGUUGCAGAUAGAGUUUGGUGGUAAAAGGAUGAUUGGAAUAUGGGGAGUUGGGGGCGGUGGCAAGACUACUCUUGCCUCUUCUAUUUUUGAUGAAAUCUCUAGCAAGUUUGAUGGUUGCUGCUUUCUAAAAAAUGUCAGGGGUGAAUCAAGUAAAAAUAACGGUUUGGAAAACUUGCAACAAAAAAUUCUUUCAGACGUUUUGAAACAGAAGCAAGUGGAGGUACGAAGAGUUGAAGAAGGAAGGCGCAUGAUAAAGGAUAGGUUACAACAUCGAAAGGUGUUGAUUGUUCUUGAUGAUGUCGACAACCUUGAACACCUAGAAGAUUUAGCUGGAUCACGUGAUUGGUUCGGUGAAGGAAGCCGGAUAUUAAUCACAACAAGAGAUGAGCAUGUAUUAACCGGACACAAAGUAGAUGUGGUACACAAUAUUAGGUUGUUAAGUAAUGAUGAGGCUAUGAAGCUCUUCUGCAAGCAUGCACCCCAGGGACACAUACGUUUAGAAGAGUAUGAGCAGCUUUCAAGAGAUGUGGUUUCUUAUGCUGGAGGACUCCCAUUGGCACUUAGAGUUCUUGGUCGGUUUCUAUGUGACAAAGAGAUGGAUGAGUGGAGGAGUGCCUUGGCUAGAUUGAAAGAAAUUCCAGAUGCUAAUAUUUUGGAAAAGCUAAAAAUCAGCUUUGAUGGACUUACUCUCCUAGAAAAAGAGUUGUUCCUAGACAUCGCAUGUUUCUUUAGAGGCGAGCCUAACAAUGAAGAGGUAAUGAUGGUACUUGAUGCUUGUGGUUAUUACCCUGUUAUAGGCAUAAAGGUGUUGGUACAAAAGGCUCUUGUAACUAUUUCAGAAUAUGGGGCUUUUGAUAUGCAUGAUCUGGUAGAAGAAAUGGCACACUACAUUGUUAGAGGGAAACACCCUAAGAAUCCAGAAAAACAUAGCAGAGUUUGGAAGGAGGAAGAUGUUGCAACAAUAUGUGAUGUGGAUGCAACAACGAACCUUGACAAGAUUGAAGCUAUAUAUUCUAGGACUAACAAAGCACAACGAGUUCUUGAGGUUGCUGCAAGCAUGAACAAACUGAGGUGGAUUAUUUUGGGAAACCCUCCAGGAUCGGAUGAGAGAACAUUUUUAAUGUCAGAUAGUUUUCCACGGAGGGAGCUUUGUUGUCUAUCAUUACAUGGCUUCAAUGCAAAACAACUUUGGGAGGGCUACAAGUAUCUACCAAAUUUGAAGAUUAUCGGUCUUACUUUCAUGAGGAACCUUAUGAAGACACCUGAUUUUGAGGGGCUUCCGAACCUUGAAAGAUUCAUGGUUGACGGAUCUGCGCUUUUAGAAGAGAUUCAUCCAUCAUUUGGACAUUUGGAAAAGCUUGUUUAUGUAGCAAUAGAAGGUUGUUACAAUCUUAAGAUGCUUCCACACAUUACCCGGUCGAAGAAACUCGAGACCAUUGUUCUCUCAAAGUGCGAAAUAGUUUUUAACCAUUCAAAGAUGGAACAAAAUAUGGAGAAUUUUGUACCUGACAACAUGAACCACAUAGGACUAUGGUUUUCUUGCGGAUGGUUAAAAAAGCUGGAUCUAGGCUGGUGCAAUUUGGCAGAUGGACACAUGAUCAGAUCUACUGCUGUUUGGGAGUUACCCAACUUGGAAAAACUCGAUCUAAAAGGAAAUAGAUUUGUACAGUUGAAUUUUAGUCUCUUGCAACUUCCUCGGCUCAAAUGGCUCGAUGUGUCAUACUGCUUCAAUCUUGUAGAAUUAUUGGAGCUGCCAUCAAGUAUUGCUGCUGUUCUAGCGGAUGGUUGUAUGUCACUUGAAACAUUUGGAGACAUUUCAAACUGUAAAUGGUUGUGGAAAGUCGCACUUUGGGGGGAUAACAAACUUGGUCCACUUGAUGGUGACAUAUUGCUAAACUCCAUGCUCCAGGGAAACGCCAAAUAUUACUUUAUCAAUGUCAAACUUAAUUGCAUGGACAUUUGGAGGGGACCAUCUGUAGUUUGGGUCAAAUGGGUGAAGACUUAUAAUAUGCUGCUUCCACAUGAUUGGUACGAUCACUUUUCUGGGAUUUUGAUGUUCUUCCAAAACAAGAGAUUUAAUGGGAACCCUCACAUAACCAUCAACUUGGGUGUACACGACAUUUUUCAAUCUGAGUCUAAUGAAACACUUGAGGCGCAUUCUGAAGAGACAACAUAUGUAGGAUAUGUUUCCUUUAGUUCAUUAAUGCACAUCACAUGCUUGAAAUCAACAUACAAUUUCAUUUCGUUUUCCUCAGAAGAUGGGUCUAUGUAUGCAGAUAGCUGUAGGUUUAGGGUUGUACUCAUUCCUAAAGAUGAUCCGAUGCAAACAACAAAAGUCACAAUAGAUUCCUCAGAAUUUUGGGAUAAGAAAGACAUUAAUGGAAAGACAUUUACCAUAGAACAUGAUUCAAACGCCUCUAUCAAGAUUUUAUGGAGACCUCUGAUUUACUAGAUAUAUUCCCAGAGGUCAUUUGACUACCUACCACUUUUCCCCUCUAAAUGAUCUUUUGCAUGGCCAUUAAUCUGUGGUAACAGUUUUACUUUCAUGAAUUUGGUUACUGACAACCAAAGUUUUUGCUGAGAAACAUACUCAAGAGUCAAGAGUCACUUUAGUCUCAGAUUCUUAGUUUUUGUUUAUUGAUCAUAGCUGUUGUUUUUGUUAAAAAGGAUUACACACAAACUGAUAAUUAGAUCAAGAAUGAUAUGGUAAAAUGUUUGUGUUUCUCAUAUGAUACAUCUGAACCAUGGGCGACUUGUCAUAUGGAACUUCAAACCGGAAUGCAAAUUUGGUAAUAUGAAAUGUAUGUAUCUAGCAUGCAUAUCAUGUCAUAUGUAUAUGUAUGUAUAUAGGUCAUAUACAUAUGCAUGUAUAUCAGCAUUUCCUAUCCAUCCUACAUAUAUUUGUCAUGCAUACUAUGUAGGCAAAUUAUUUGGUUGAAAUAGAAUAUAUGCUAUUGCAUAUGUAUGUAACUUGGAUUUGGAAUAAAAAAUAGGAUACAUACAUUUGUCAUAUAUCUAUAGAUUUGGUCAAAACUGGAAUGCAAAAAAAAAAAAAAAAAUGUUAAAAAAAACAUUUAAUACAUAUAAUGUUUUAUAUGUAUGUACGCAAAUGUAUAUGUACGGUCAAAAACCACAACUGGAAUUGCCCAACAACCCACAUUGGAAUACAACUUUUUUUACAUUGGCUAUAGACAACAAUAAAGUACAAUGCCAUUACAAGUACCAACAUCAUUUUGACACAACAACUAUUAACCAACAAAAACUAAAGCCAAGGCCGGCCCAAUACUUGGGUGGCUUGGGCUUAGACCAAGGGCAUCAAAUUUAUUGGGGCAUAAAAUAAGUCCAACAAUGUUUAUAUUAUAUAUAUCAGUGGCCCAAAAAAAAUAUCCCAUAUAUUUGUGAUUUGAUUUCAGACGUGAAGAGGGCAACGAAAACACUUGAACGUCAAACAACCAUCGAUCGUUCAUCAACGCAUUGAAAAUCGAAAUGUCUAAUGCUUUGAAACUUGUUGCCAUCUGUUGAAGAGCCGUUAUCUAUAGUCAAUAUUCGAUAAUACAUACCUCCCAAUUUCUUUCACUGAUAUCCUUUUCAUUGUUUUCUCUAAAGCACCCAAUCUCUAAUGAUUUUUUUCUCUUUCAGUCGAUUUAUUUUUCUAUGAUUUAUUUCUCUAAUUUGGUUCGGUGGUUCACACAAAAUCGUGGUUCAAGUCUUCUGAUUUCUGAUACAACGAUUCUGAUUCAGUGAUUUGGGCGUCAUUCUGAUUUUGGGGAAAAAGAGUGAAUCGUGGCUCAAACUCUUAUUUGAUUUUUCAUUUUUGUAUCUGAUUUCUUUAUUGUUUCAUAAAUCAGAUUUGGGUUUGGUUGUUUCAGAAAUUAGAUUUAGGAAAAAAAAGUUUGAGCUCCAAAAUCAAUUUUGUAUCUGAUUUCUCCAUUGUUUUUGAGAUCAUAUUUGGGUAAUUUCUCUAAUGUUUUCUCCUAGUGUGAGCUCUGAAAUCAUAUUUGUUUUUGAUUUCUCAACUGUUUCAACAAUCAAAUUUGUAUAUGCUGAUUCAAAAAUCAAAUUUUAAGAUUUUGGUGAGUUUAAUUUUGAAAUCUGUUUAUGUUCAAUAUUUGCUGUCUAAACAUCUUGUCUAAACUUGUGUUUUAUUGUUUAUGUGAUGUGAAGCAGGAGAAAUGUCAUUCUUGUAGAUAUGGCUCUUUUUCAAUUGAAAAGUAUAUUUGAACAAAUGCAAUAUUUUGAAUAUAUAUUUGUUUUUUUUGUUUGAUUGUUCCAAAUUAGUUUCAUUAGGUGAUGAAAUGAAAAAAUGUUUUUUUUAAAACUUGAGUUCAAUUUAACAAAUGGUGAAGAAUA